AAGGAGGCUUGGUCUUCCUGCAUCUGCAGGGAUACUGGCUUUAAACAGGCUCAGAAACUAUCCCUGCUACAAGCAGACCAUGCUGGCAUACCUGGCAGAGGAACUGCAGACAAAAGCCUCUGAGCCUGGGACUAACCACUGCGUCUGUCCUCAGCAGGACCCCAAGCAAGGAGACCUGGUAAGAGGAAUAGCCUGGAGGCUGGGGAGUUAGAGCCGAGAUGAUGGCCAGAUGGCCCAGGUUAAA